rnacentral:tRNA from 1 species
GGCCGAGUAGCCAAGUAGCUAAGGCGACUCUCUGCAAAAGAGUUAUACGCCGGUGCAAUUCCGACCUCGGCCU